rnacentral:tRNA from 1 species
ACCCCGGUAGCUCAGUUGGAUAGAGCAUCGGAUUUCUAAUCCGGCGGUCGCAGGUUCGAAUCCUGCCCGGGGUGCCA